rnacentral:rRNA from 1 species
UACGUAGGUGGCAAGCGUUGUCCGGAAUUACUGGGCGUAAAGGGUGCGUAGGCGGUUGUUCAAGUCAGAUGUGAAAUACCCGGGCUUAACCUGGGGGGUGCAUUUGAAACUGGAUGACUUGAGUGCAGGAGAGGAAAGCGGAAUUCCUGGUGUAGCGGUGGAAUGCGUAGAUAUCAGGAGGAACACCGGUGGCGAAGGCGGCUUUCUGGACUGUAACUGACGCUGAGGCACGAAAGCGUGGGGAGCGAACAGG